GACGAACGCUGGCGGCGUGCUUAACACAUGCAAGUCGAACGAAGAGCGACGGAAGCUUGCUUCUAUCAAUCUUAGUGGCGAACGGGUGAGUAACGCGUAAUCAACCUGCCCUUCAGAGGGGGACAACAGUUGGAAACGACUGCUAAUACCGCAUACGAUCUAACCUCGGCAUCGAGGAUAGAUGAAAGGUGGCCUCUACAUGUAAGCUAUCACUGAAGGAGGGGAUUGCGUCUGAUUAGCUAGUUGGAGGGGUAACGGCCCACCAAGGCGAUGAUCAGUAGCCGGUCUGAGAGGAUGAACGGCCACAUUGGGACUGAGACACGGCCCAGACUCCUACGGGAGGCAGCAGUGGGGAAUCUUCCGCAAUGGACGAAAGUCUGACGGAGCAACGCCGCGUGAGUGAUGACGGCCUUCGGGUUGUAAAGCUCUGUUAAUCGGGACGAAAGGCCUUCUUGCGAAUAGUGAGAAGGAUUGACGGUACCGGAAUAGAAAGCCACGGCUAACUACGUA
rnacentral:rRNA from 1 species